rnacentral:tRNA from 2 species
GGGUCUGUAGCCAAGUGGUGACGCAAGUCGAAGGCAUCCGACUUUUAAUCGGAGGAUCGGGGGUUCGAAUCCCUCCAGACCCA